AUCGGCACCUAGGCCCGCGGCAUCGCCCCACCGCUCAAGGCCGACAACAUCAAGGCCCUGCCACGCGGGCGCGGCCUGAGCGCCCUCGUCGCCGGAGUGACUAUCGUCAACGUCUACGGCCCUGGCAGAGGUCUCCAAGAAGACACUCUAGCACAACUGUCACCUACUGAGAUGGAAGAAGCAGCCUUCGCUACUUCAUUCUUCCUCUGCAACAGCUGUCUCUACCAACCGUCUCCAGCUUCUUCUUGCUCUUCUGCAAGAAUUGCCAAGCACCGUCCUUCCAUUUUUUUCUUCUUGAAGAAGAUAGAUUGAAGGUCGACGAUGAGGGCAAUUUUGGAGCUGAGAAGUCUACUCAAGAGGUCCUGUCUCACCUGGUGUUGUGCUUCAGUGGCUAAUUGGGACUGCAAGUCUUGAAACCACCUUCCCAGGCCUGCUGUGGUCUCGAUUCUUUGGUCUUCAACAAGACCUUUUCACCAAACUUUUAUCUGCUGAGGUGGAAGAAGCAGUCUUAGCUACUUCAUUCUCCUUCUGGAACUGUUGUCACCACCAACCGUCUCCAGCUUCUUGCUUCUCUGCAAGAAUUUCCAA